GACUCCCGGAGCCCAGGUUAAUAAAUGAUAGCACCAAAUGGUCACUGUGUCCUACAACCCAUAAAUUGGUCCUUAAUUCCCUGGCAGACAGUCCUAUUUCCCUCAUUUUUCACAAGAACCUGGGCUGAUAGCACCACCAUGAAGUCUAUUGCCAUUCUCUUUUUCCUGGCCUUCCUCACAGGUUUUCAAGGUGCUGUCCUCAUUGAGGAGCCUCCUUCAUCGAUCUCGGAGCCUGAACAACAAUCCAUGCUGGAACGGUUGCAAGGCCAGUUUGGAAAACUUUCCGAUCAAGUUACCGAAACCAUAAAUGACGGUCUGAGCACAUUGAAAGGACAUCUCUCUGAUGCUCUGGCCUACUUAGCAGAAACGGGGAAAAAACACAUCCCACCCAAAUAUUUUAACCGCAAGGCUACUCACUUAGUCAAGGAUGCUCAACAGUAUGGCCAGUCUCUUCUUAAUCAAGGCAAGGAGGCGGUGAAGGAUCAAUUACAGAAAGUGGCGGACAUGGUAGAUGGGAUUAAGAAGUUGCCUCCUGUGCAAGCGGUGAACGAAGGGUUGAUCGAACCUGCCAUUGAGAGGGGCAACAAGUUGAUGUCCUUGGCUGGUGAGCAAAGCUUGGCUAGCAUUUCCAGCACAAUACAAAAGAACAUGAAGCACUGAAGGUCCCCAAUGGACACCCACAGCUGUCUGAGACUGUGGGCGAAGGGCAUGGUAAACUUAGAAGAAGAAGUGGAUAGGCUCGCUCGAGGAAGAACCCUGGUAUGGCUCCGCUGAGCCAGCCCUGCACCUCAUUGUAACUAUUAUCCACUUUCUGGAACAAUAAACACAGCAUGACAUGAACA
rnacentral:lncRNA from 1 species